rnacentral:rRNA from 1 species
ACUGAACGCUGGCGGCAUGCUUUACACAUGCAAGUCGAACGGCAGCGCGGGCUUCGGCCUGGCGGCGAGUGGCGAACGGGUGAGUAAUGCAUCGGAACGUGCCCAGUAGUGGGGGAUAGCCCGGCGAAAGCCGGAUUAAUACCGCAUACGACCUGAGGGUGAAAGCGGGGGACCGAAAGGCCUCGCGCUAUUGGAGCGGCCGAUGUCGGAUUAGCUAGUUGGUGGGGUAAAGGCUUACCAAGGCGACGAUCCGUAGCUGGUCUGAGAGGACGACCAGCCACACUGGGACUGAGACACGGCCCAGACUCCUACGGGAGGCAGCAGUGGGGAAUUUUGGACAAUGGGGGCAACCCUGAUCCAGCCAUGCCGCGUGCGGGAAGAAGGCCUUCGGGUUGUAAACCGCUUUUGUUCGGGAAGAAAUCCUCUGGGCUAAUACCCCGGGGGGAUGACGGUACCGGAAGAAUAAGCACCGGCUAACUACGUG